UUUGUAACAAACUCUGAAGCCACAAUCCUCGCCCUUCUAGAGUUAAUCCAAGAUCUUGGCUUGCUUUCAGGCUAUAGAAUUAACUCAGAAAAGUUGGAACUGCUUGAGAUCUCCCAGCUGCCUUGCACAACGGCUUUUCUUCCAGUGCAACUCCUGAAGGCAGUCAGAAGCAAUUAAAUGUUUGAGGCAUGAAAUCAGGAAUUUCAAAAAACUUGCGGAGUUGAAUUUAAAAUCCACUGUCCUUCAACUGGCAGAAGACAACAGAUAGAAAAAUAGAUGAAAGCUAAGAAGAUAUGCCAAGUAAUUCCAAAAUCAACUUUAAAGCACACGAUCACGUCUUGGCAAUCUGAAAGCAGUGUGUGGAGAAAAGGGUUGGCAGAGGAGUGAAGAAAAGAAGUAUUCUACAAAAAAAGAAAUGGCAUGUCUUGGCAGAGAUACAAUGUUUGCUAACCUGUUGAAGGGUUCAGUUGUAAAAGAACUGUGUUCAUGAGAACUGAAAUAGAGCAGAAACCAUU